rnacentral:rRNA from 1 species
AUGAUGUCAAGUCAGCAUGGCCUUUAUAUCCUGGGCUACACACACGCUACAAUGGGAAGGGACAAUAGGUUGCGAAGCCGCGAGGCGGAGCCAAUCCAGCAAAACUUCCCUCAGUUCAGAUUGCAGGCUGCAACCCGCCUGCAUGAAGUUGGAGUUGCUAGUAAACGCAGGUCAGCCAUACUGCGUUGAAUACGUUCCCGGGGCUU